UUCUUGAUUCAGAUUUUGGUGAGUGGCGGACGGGUGAGUAACACGUGGGUAACCUGCCCAAAAGUGGGGGAUAACAUUUGGAAACAAGUGCUAAUACCGCAUAACAACUGCUUUCACAUGAUCGCAGCUUGAAAGAUGGCUCUGCUAUCGCUUUUGGAUGGACCCGCGGCGUAUUAGCUAGUUGGUGAGGUAAUAGCUCACCAAGGCAAUGAUACGUAGCCGACCUGAGAGGGUAAUCGGCCACAUUGGGACUGAGACACGGCCCAAACUCCUACGGGAGGCAGCAGUAGGGAAUCUUCCACAAUGGGCGAAAGCCUGAUGGAGCAAUGCCGCGUGAGUGAAGAAGGUUUUCGGAUCGUAAAACUCUGUUGUUGAAGAAGAACAUGCGUGAGAGUAACUGUUCACGUACUGACGGUAUUCAACCAGAAAGCCACGGCUAACUACGUGCCAGCAGCCGCGGUAAUACGUAGGUGGCAAGCGUUGUCCGGAUUUAUUGGGCGUAAAGAGAAUGUAGGCGGUUUAUUAAGUUUG
rnacentral:rRNA from 1 species